UUUUUAAGCGUGUAUAAAUUUGACAGCUGUCUGAUUAUUAGUGUGUGAGAUAUUGCAUUUUGAGUGCAGCUACUUUUGUUAUUGUGAAGAAAAUGGAAAAAAGUCAAAUUUAUACACGUAUCUUUUGAAGCCGAUCUGUUAUCUGCUGCUUCUGCCAUCUUCAGCGACGGAUAAUACAUCAUUUUUGUUCCAUUGUAGUACCGCUUUUGCGGACUGAUAUAUAAGGAACGGGUCAGGUGGCAAACGAUUUUUUGUUCCUCCUUCGAGGUUAAUAGCUCGCAAUAGGAGCGUUCGAGUGUCGAUUAUAUCACUACUAUCACCUGCCGGUUGAGCGAUCUUACGACGUUCGAGCAAGGUUCUAGUUAGGAACGUCCUGCGGUACAAGCCACCUCUAAGUCUAGAUGUAUAGUUUACAGCGCCGGCGUAACAAAUUGUACACGAUGUAGACUUUGGAAUGGAGUCCUUCGUCCAGUUAUUACCGUCCUGCGUAACAAACCGAUACUAAGUCUGGUCGUGUGGUUAAUCAGAUUCCCCGCCUGCGUUACAAACAAGGAAGUAGAUCGACCAAGGAAUGCAAAGUGGAAAAGCAACGAAGAGCUCCUGUGUUUUGGAAACGAAUGCUGCUGAAUGAGCUUUGGAGUUUGACUGUGUCUUUAUUGAUAAUUUUUGGAUUUUUAUAUCUAAAUUUCUUAAUGCCAAUUGUUUACAAAAAUAUAUAAGUACAUUGAAUAUUUGAAUGAUUCUUUCCUUUCAUUGCGCCGCUUAAGUUUUUGAAUUUGAAUAUAUGUAUCAAUAUAUCGCGGUGCGACAAUGGCAUUGGCAUCGAGAAUGUUGACUUAGCAUAAUUUGUCUGUUUUACUAUGUGACCGACCGGACUCAACGCCGAGGCGAUAAUUACUAUUUACACUCAAAUGAAAAUUCUCGUUCGAUUCACUUGAAAAAUCACGCAAAAUGGUUUCUAAUGUCAAGUUGAAUAUUUUACUUGACGAAAAUGAAUGUUAUACGAACGUCCCCUAAAAUGAAUAGAGUCAUCACAUAAAGUUUACGUGAAUUGUCCAAACGUCAAACAAUCUACGUGAAUUUCCGGUGUGAAAAACUCGAUUUGGGAAAUGGCGAACAGUGGCCUUCAAAGUGACCAUUCCAGUAUGAAAGUCUUCAUAUGUUCGACUGGACCGCGUGCCUGCGUGAGUCCGGAAGUGUGCCCGAUUCUACCGAAUGCUUCAAACAGGUCGAUGGUCCACGAGUUCAAAAUCGGUAUGAAGCUAGAGACACUGGACCCAUGUAAUGCGACCUCAACCUACAUCGGCAGUGUUGUAGUAGUUCUCGGAUCUCGACUUCGGCUUCGAUUGGAUGGCAGUGACAACAAAAACGAUUUCUGGAGGCUUGUCGAUUCGAUAUCCCACGACGUUAUUAGUUGGUUUUUAUUUUCAGCCGUUGACAUUCUAUGCUAAUUUUUUGAAAUAAAUGUUUUAU